rnacentral:rRNA from 1 species
GUGGGGAAUCUUGCGCAAUGGGCGAAAGCCUGACGCAGCGACGCCGCGUGGGGGAUGAAGGUUUUAGGAUCGUAAACUCCUGUUAAGUGGGAAGAAAGACUCAUUUUUAAUAAAGAUGAGAGAUGACGGUACCACUAGAGAAAGCACCGGCUAACUUCGUGCCAGCAGCCGCGGUAAUACGAGGGGUGCAAGCGUUAUUCGGAAUCAUUGGGCGUAAAGGGUGCGUAGGCGGCAUGUUAAGUCAACUGUUAAAUCUUCCGGCUCAACCGGAAGCUCGCGGUAGAUACUGGCGUGCUAGAGGAUGAAAGAGAGAAGUGGAAUUCUCGGAGUAGCGGUAAAAUGCGUAGAUCUCGAGAGGAACACCAAUGGCGAAGGCAGCUUCUUGGUUCAUUCCUGACGCUGAGGCACGAAAGCGUGGGGAGCAAACAGG